GAUGAACGCUGGCGGCGUGCCUAAUACAUGCAAGUCGAGCGAACAGACGAGGAGCUUGCUCCUCUGAUGUUAGCGGCGGACGGGUGAGUAACACGUGGAUAACCUACCUAUAAGACUGGGAUAACUUCGGGAAACCGGAGCUAAUACCGGAUAACAUGUUGAACCGCAUGGUUCAACAGUGAAAGACGGUCUUGCUGUCACUUAUAGAUGGAUCCGCGCCGCAUUAGCUAGUUGGUAAGGUAACGGCUUACCAAGGCAACGAUGCGUAGCCGACCUGAGAGGGUGAUCGGCCACACUGGAACUGAGACACGGUCCAGACUACUACGGGAGGCAGCAGUAGGGAAUCUUCCGCAAUGGGCGAAAGCCUGACGGAGCAACGCCGCGCGAGUGAAGAAGGUCUUCGGAUCGUAAAACUCUGUUAUUAGGGAAGAACAAAUGUGUAAGUAACUAUGCACGUCUUGACGGUACCUAAUCAGAAAGCCACGGCUAACUACGUG
rnacentral:rRNA from 1 species